GGGCCUAUAGCUCAAUGGUUAAAGCAGGGGACUCAUAAUCCCUUGGUUCCAGGUUCGAGUCCUGGUGGGCCCA
rnacentral:tRNA from 1 species